rnacentral:rRNA from 1 species
AUUGAACGCUGGCGGCAGGCCUAACACAUGCAAGUCGAACGAGUGGCGGACGGGUGAGUAAUGUCUGGGAAACUGCCUGAUGGAGGGGGAUAACUACUGGAAACGGUAGCUAAUACCGCAUCUCAUCGGAUGUGCCCAGAUGGGAUUAGCUGGUAGGUGGGGUAAAGGCUCACCUAGGCGACGAUCCCUAGCUGGUCUGAGAGGAUGACCAGCCACACAGGAACGGAGACACGGUCCAGACUCCUACGGGAGGCAGCAGGGGGGAAUAUUGCACCAUGGGCGCAAGCCGGAUGCAGCCAUGCCGCGUGUAUGAAGAAGGCCUUCGGGUUGUAAAGUACUUUCAGCGAGGAGGCGUUACUCGCAGAAGAAGCACCGGCUAACUCCGUGCCAGCAGCCGCGGUAAUUC